rnacentral:tRNA from 1 species
UCCCUGGUGGUUGAGUGGUUAAGACUCUGUGCUGCUGACGCAGGGGGCAUGGGUUUGAACCCUGGUCAGGGAA